GACGAACGCUGGCGGCGUGCCUAAUACAUGCAAGUCGAGCGAAUCUUUAAGGGGCUUGCCCCUUGAGAUUAGCGGCGGACGGGUGAGUAACACGUGGGCAACCUGCCUGUAAGACCGGGAUAACUUCGGGAAACCGGAGCUAAUACCGGAUCAUCCUUUCCUUCGCAUGAAGGAAAGCUGAAAGACGGCGUAAGCUGUCACUUACAGAUGGGCCCGCGGCGCAUUAGCUAGUUGGUGAGGUAACGGCUCACCAAGGCGACGAUGCGUAGCCGACCUGAGAGGGUGAUCGGCCACACUGGGACUGAGACACGGCCCAGACUCCUACGGGAGGCAGCAGUAGGGAAUCUUCCACAAUGGACGAAAGUCUGAUGGAGCAACRCCGCGUGAGCGAUGAAGGCCUUCGGGUCGUAAAGCUCUGUUGUUAGGGAAGAA
rnacentral:rRNA from 1 species